AUAAACGAUUUAAAUUGUCUUUCUUAAAUCUUAAUUAAAAUAUUUUUAAUUAAACUUUAAGAAAAUAGCAAUUACAAAAAUUUAUACAUUUGUAGUAAUAAUAUAUUCUAAAUAAAAGUUGAAUAAAGUGUAACUGAACUCAUCAGUCCAUAUAUAGGAAACGACUGAAGUGAAAUAAGUAUCUAUCUGGCAUUGUUCUCUGAAUCUUUCAAUUUACUUUGGGAACCGGUUAAACAUGGCUACGUCAGUGGUUGCAGUACCAUUUAAGGAGGAUAAUAUGUAUCGUGGAAUGUCAUCUGGCAAAGAUAUUUUUCGGUCGAUCCUAGCAUUCCUGAAUAGUUUUAUCCUUGUUCGAUUUGUGUCAAGGAGCGUAUAACAUGUAUUCCAUACAUUUUAUUAAAUCCAUGUUUGGAAAUCAGAACGAUUCAUGAAAAUGAUAGAAAAUUCUUGAUAACUCUAUAUUUGGUAUCGAGGAUUUUACAAUAAGAGAGAGACAGAUCCAUAACGAAAAUUUAGAUUUACUUAUGAAAUUAUUAAUAUUUAAAAAAAUGACAAUUGAUUGAGAAAUAAUAAUUAUACCAAUUAUUAAAUUGAUAAAUUAUUUUUAAAUUUGGAUUUGUAUCAAAAGUUAAAAUAAUAGUUAUUUAUAAAAUUCAAGAUAAUUUGAUUCUUUAUUGUUUUAUUAAUAAAACAUUUAUCAUUUUCUAAUAAAUGUGGGAUAGAUACAAAUUUGCAUUCUUAUAUCACACGAUGUAACUUUUUUUCAAGUAUAUUACAUGUAAUAACUCAAAAGUAUUGUAAAAAAGAGAUUUGUUCCUUAGUACUAGAUCCUAAAUUACAUCUAAUUCUUAUUUAUUUUAUGUUCAAAAAAAGAAAAAUUAUAAUUUCAUAAUUUUAAUAUAUUUGAAUAUUCUAGAUCAGUUGUAAUCUCAAUUUAUUUAACUUUAAUAAAUUCAUCAAAAAAAAAAAAAAAAAAAAAAGAAAAAUUAUAGUUCUUUGAUAUUUCCUUCUCUGGAUCGCGUCAAUGCAUAAAAAUUGGGAUUAUUAAAAUGGCGACGAAGCAUUCAAACCUCACUGAAUCUGUCGAGAGGAUUCUCGCAAUCCUACAAAGGUACAAUCCGUUUGAAAAGAGGAGAAGCUGCGUUGGAUUACAAUUAUGGCCGCUUAGAUGCUCGAAACUUUGGCGCAUUUGUAACAAAGAUAUCGUGUUCGCACGACUUAUCAAAGGAUUGGGAUGAAAAAGAAAGAAGGGAAACACUCGAGAGAUCGAAAUAAGAAAUGGUUUCCCAGGCGACAUCAAACCUUCCUCCCUUUCCUUCUUUUUCCUUUUUUUGUCACCAUCAUAAUCACCAGUUUUCUUGCUUGAAAAUCUGACGUUUCGCGGCUAACUGACACGUUGUUAAGAAUAUAGAUGGCGUCGCGACAAGCAUGCCAUCUUGUGAAUAUCUUGAGUUGAUGAAAGAGAUCGUUUCUCUUUCAAAAAUCUUUGACUUUGAACCGACUGGGAUUAUUUGUUGAAAUAACUAUUAUUACAAUGUUUAAUCUUGGAUUUUCUAAUUAAUUUCAAGAUUCGCUUUGAUAUUAUUUGACAUUUGAUAUUAUUUCAAAGAAAUUAUAGAAAUAGAUUUUCAUAAAAAUUAAUUUUCCAAUAAUGUUAAAUAUUAAAAUAACUAUUUAAUUCUUAAAAAAUAAAAUUCUUGAAAAAAUUGUUUUGUUAUAUAGAAUUUAAAUUAUAAUGCAGUUUUUAAAAAUUAUUUUUUAAAACUCAUAAUAAGCAUUAUAACAAUAAUUAUCCAACAAAGAAUAAAAGUGGAAUCAUAAAAGGAAAGACAAACUAAGGAACAUCAGAAGCGUUUAAAAACAAUCGUUCCAUUCAUCUUCGUCUCUUUUCUGUCGUAGCAUUCAUAAUCUUCGUUUAUAUGACUCUUUCUUUCUAUUGUAAAGCUAGACAGUUCGAAAGAAAGUGGAUGAAAGCAUGAAAGAAAAAGAAUGAGAAAAAUGACUUGAAGUUUGAAACAUGAAAUACAUGUUUAUCACUACAAAUCCGGUUAAUAUCAAUAACCACAAUUUUUUUUGCAAAUAUGCCACUAUGUAUUCAACUAUUUUACCGCGUUACUAAUUACAUCGUACUCAGCCAAUGCUCGUCUUCGACAGCCAUGACCGAGUUUCCUUUACAUAGCUUUUUCCCUUUACAUCCAGCUAACAAACAACUCGCGGAAGAAAAGACGAUGACCUUGCUCUUUCGACUGCCAACACGUAUACCUUUUCAUCCGCGGAUAAGGUUACCUCUUGCGUAAGCUAGCGUACUGAAUUCAAUUUCACCGAGAAAACCGAAGAUAAUUUUCACACUGUUUUUUAUAUCUUUCUUCAUCUAUUUUAACUUACAAUGACGUAAAAGAAAAGUGAAAAAAAAGAAUACGAAUUGAGCAUUUUUGAGGUUAUCGUGAAGAGAAAGAACACAUGUAAAUUUUAAGGUUAUCAUGAGAAAGAAGGAAUGAAUUAUAAAUAAAUUUUAAAACUAUCUUGAAAUAUUUCUUAUCUGACUUAUAGAUAUGAAAACAAAGAUGUGCACAUAUGAUAUUACACAAAACCGUUUAUUCAAGACUAAAUUAUGAACUGAAAGAAAACAAGAAAAAUCGGAGAGAAGGCCAUCUAUUAGCAGAGUAAAACAAUUAAUAGAAAAGUCCCUAUGGCGUGAUCAUCAUGUAAGACUUUUGAUUGGUGGUUUAGUAUAAGAGCACAUACUUAAUAUAUAUAAUAUAUUAAAUAUUAAUAUAUUUAUAAGAUUUAUUGAAAUAUAAUUUUAUAAUUUAUGAUUUAAUUUGGCAUUAAAAUUAUAAACAAUCUAUCCUCAGGUAGUAAGUUCAAUUAUUAUUAAUUGGUUCAUUUUGUAGAUACAUAGGUACAUUUUGUAGAUACUAUUGAGAAUAUCUAUGUAUUUGUUUGAAAAAGAUAUUUAGAGAAAAAGAGUAAGUAUUGUUGAUUAUUAUUUUAUACUUUUUUUCGAUAUUCUUCUUUUUUUUAAUCAUUCCAUAUUUAAACAUAUCUAGUAUUUACAUUUUAUUCAGUAUUUUUUUGCUUUUUUUCAAUUUUUUUUUUAUGUUUUCGUUUUUUAACCUUUUGUCAAGCUCUCUCUUCUUCAUUUUUUCUUUUGUAGUCAUAUCACUUUCUCUUGGUGUUUCAAUCUAUUUUUAUUUUUCUCUGUUAUAUCGAUCAGCGUCUAUUCUAUUUAUUUUCUUUUCUUUUCCAUUUCUAUAUUCAUAAUUGAUUGUAAAUAAAAUAUAAUAAGGAUUGUAUGAAAAAAAAGAAGAUAUAAUUUUAGUAAAAAUGCAAUCGAACACGUUCUUCACAUGAUGUAUCAGCAAACUGCUUCUCGAAUUAAAAUCUUUUAACGAGGGUCACUACGAUCGACUGGACACUUGACCUCGUUGACCUGGUUUCCGGUAUGCUAGCGUCCUUGCUGACUGUCUUCCAUUGGUCUUUUUCAAGAGUAAAGAUAAGACACGAAAAGAAAAAUAAACUUCUUUUCUAUUUCUUACCUAUUCUCUAAAUUCUUAUUAUUUUUUAUCUGAUCUUUUUAAAAUUUGUUUUCCAAAUUUUUAAAUCUAAUGGUUUCUAUUUAUACAAUCAUGACUUACUUUAUUAUUUAACUUUAUAAUUAAUAAGCUUCAAUUGAUAUUUUUUUAUAUCCAAGUUUUCUAUUUAUUUUAAUUUAUAGAAUCAACUCUUCAAAUUUGUUAUAUACGAAUAUAUUAACAGAAAACCUAUGAAUAAUAAAAAUGCAAAUCUCCCAACCACGAGAUCACUUUUCAACGUAUAGAGAGAGUAUCCGACUAAACGUGGAGGUAAUUAGACUGGACGAAACUCGAGUUAAUUGAAGAGCAGGCGACAGUUAACUGGAAGACACUACGCUGGUCCAUUGUAUUCAGUCUAUAGCCCUCUAAAUCUCUCUCGCGAGUAGUGUUCUACCUCUUUACUUGCUAACCUUCCAUCCCCAUGACCAUUUUGCUUUAACCUAGUAACCAACCUUCUAUCCCUUUAGCGGCUAGUGGAUAACUCUGAUCCUGAGACAAACUUAGCUAAAACCAGCUGGAUAUACAUGCACCAUGUUAAAUGGUAAUUAACUCCCGAACAUGGGAUCGUGCACAGUGGACAACACAUUGGAAAUUAACUAUGAAAAAAAAAAUUAAGAAAAGAGGAUUUCAAGUUGCCAAAUCAUUUUUAUUUAUUCCAACGGCAUUCUGUAUUUUCUGCGAAAGGAGUUAUAAGAAUAGCCAAGAAAGAAAAAGGACACGUUUCGUUUUCCGUUGGCCAUUCGAUGGAACCCUAAACGUCUUGCGUAACCGGAAGCCAGUCAGCGGAUAUCGACAGACAAAGCCACGACCGUAAUGCAAAUUCCUCGAAUCGAUUCUAUAAGUUAUUUUUACGGUACUAUGAGUGUUCUUUGAGCGAUUAUACGAUUAUUAUACAUGUAUUAUAAAUAUUUGUCGAUGGUUAUUAUUCGUUGUCUCAUUGAAUGAUACGAGGGUCAUCGGAAGUUGACAAUGCCGGAAUUAAUUAAGAAAUUUAAAUUAAAGAUGAAAUCAAGGAUAAGUAAAUUAUUAAAUUAAACAUGUGGAGAAUUGAAAUCUA